AUCCAGUUGACGAGUCCCAAAUAGGACGAAAUGCGCAUCCUGGAU
rfam:Trichobilharzia regenti genome assembly, scaffold: TRE_scaffold0004102